rfam:Oryza meridionalis cultivar OR44 (W2112) chromosome 3, whole genome shotgun sequence.
AAUAAGUGCAGCUAUAAGUUUCCGUGUCUAACUUUAAUCCUCCGUCUUAUUUGAUUUUUUUUAUGAUUAGUAUUUUUAUUGUUAUUAGAUUAUAAAACAUUAAUAGUACUUUAUGUGUGACUUAUAUUUUUUAGUUUUUUAAAAAUAAAUAAAACAAAUGAUUAAAAUUGGAGACGGAUACUCGUAGCUGCGUUUAUU